CGCUGGCGGCGUGCCUAAUACAUGCAAGUCGAACGGCUUUUCUAUGGAAGCUUGCUUCCACUGAGAAGAUAGUGGCGAACGGGUGAGUAACACGUGGGUAACCUGCCCAUAAGAGGGGGGAUAACAUCCGGAAACGGGUGCUAAUACCGCAUAGUUUUCUUGAUCGCAUGAUUGAGAAAGGAAAGACGGCCUUUGUGCUGUCGCUUAUGGAUGGACCCGCGGCGUAUUAGUUAGUUGGUGAGGUAACGGCUCACCAAGACGAUGAUACGUAGCCGACCUGAGAGGGUGAUCGGCCACAUUGGGACUGAGACACGGCCCAAACUCCUACGGGAGGCAGCAGUAGGGAAUCUUCCGCAAUGGACGAAAGUCUGACGGAGCAACGCCGCGUGAGUGAAGAAAAGGGUUUUCGGAUCGUAAAACUCUGUUGUCAGAGAAGAACAAGUUGGAGAGUAACUGCUCCAGCCUUGACGGUAUCUGACCAGAAAGCCACGGCUAACUACGUGCCAGCAGCCGC
rnacentral:rRNA from 1 species